AGUGAACGCUGGCGGUAGGCCUAACACAUGCAAGUCGAACGGCAGCACAGUAAGAGCUUGCUCUUACGGGUGGCGAGUGGCGGACGGGUGAGGAAUACAUCGGAAUCUACUUUUUCGUGGGGGAUAACGUAGGGAAACUUACGCUAAUACCGCAUACGACCUACGGGUGAAAGCAGGGGAUCUUCGGACCUUGCGCGAUUGAAUGAGCCGAUGUCGGAGUAGCUAGUUGGCGGGGUAAAGGCCCACCAAGGCGACGAUCCGUAGCUGGUCUGAGAGGAUGAUCAGCCACACUGGAACUGGGACACGGUCCAGACUCCUACGGGAGGCAGCAGUGGGGAAUAUUGGACAAUGGGCGCAAGCCUGAUCCAGCCAUACCGCGUGGGUGAAGAAGGCCUUCGGGUUGUAAAGCCCUUUUGUUGGGAAAGAAAAGCAGCAGGUUAAUACCCCGCUGUUCUGACGGUACCCAAAGAAUAAGCACCGGCUAACUUCGUG
rnacentral:rRNA from 1 species